rnacentral:lncRNA from 1 species
CCCGCCCCGGCCCCUCCGGCUGCGCCUCCCUCGCCCCGCGCCUCCCACCCCGGGGCUGGGCCGGGCCCAGGAGCGGACGAGCCUGUGGGUCCUCGACGGCCGCUCAGCGCCAGCCCGGGCCGUCCCCGGAGCCCACUCUGCCGGCCGCACCGCCCCUGGGUGCCCUCGGCUCCUCAAACUCGGCCCAGACGGACCCCUCGCUCCGCCCGGAGGCGCCACCAGCCCUGGGGCUGCAGCCCAGAGCUGGGCGCCAGGCCUGGGCCGGCCCGCCCCGUCCCCGCCGGGUCCCCGGCCUUCCCAACCCUCCGGGUGCGCUCGGCUCGCGGCCUUGGUGCCACGCGGACGCUUCUGUCGGGGGCCCCCAGCCCGGGUGCGGGACCUGCUGUUUCCACGCACGGGGCUGGCUCCGGGAUCUCAGCUCAGAGAAGCCUCUGACCGCCUUGCAGGCCACGCCCCGUUAGGGAACCUGUCACGGUCACUGCCAUUCCCCAGGCCUCCUUGAGCGCCCACCGCGGGCCGGGCCUGUCCUGGGCUCCCAGCUCUGCCCUCACGGAGCUGACCGUUUUGUACAAAGCACAGCAACCAUUUACACAGCGCUCACUUCGUGCAGGCCCGUGGGUCCUCACAACCUCCAAAAAGGCGGCCCCGGGGUCGGGGAGACCUUCGGGAACAAGGGACCCUCUCGGACCUGAAGCUCGCUCGCAAGGCGCUGAGUGCAGAGUGAGGCCGGGUGCGGGCUGCGCCUUCUGAGAGGGAGGCAGUCCGCACAGUUCCGAGCAGAGGCGCGUAGGCCUCUGAAGGGUCCCUCGGGCUGCCGUGUGGAGUGUGGACUGCAGGAGGCUGGGGUGCUGAAUCACUUAGGAUGCAUUCAGAGGCGAACAACCCGCUUCCCAGCUAGCAGCAGCUUGCACGAUGCCAUUGUGAUCUCACUGAAUACGAAGCCACCAUCUCUCCUCCCUCCAAAAUCCCCACAUACACUUUCUGCCUUCCUGCCUGUUGCCUCAUGCCCCAGGGUGGCUGUCAUAGCACAGGGCAUCACACCGCUACACCAGCAUCUCAAACGGGAAGGAAGUGGCAGGUGUACAAAGGAUGACCACUUUGUGAAUCAGUUCCAGUUCCUGCGUCCUCCCCUUGUUCCUGCCAGCGGGGGAUGGCAUCACGCAGGCAUGGUGAAUCCUGGCCCUUGGGACUUCCCUGCGCCUUGCACAGAUCGCACAGAUUGUGGUAGAUGGUCCCUUGCAAGUGUCAUCCUGCCUGAUGCAUCACCACCGAGGAAGCGACCGAAGUCAGAGACAGAGGAUGCUGCCACUCCCCAAGAAUGAAGCCGGUAGGGGAUAUUAUUGGACUUCGUAUGUGAUGGCAAUGACUCAACAGAAAGAAAAAUUGCUGAUGCAAGAAAAAGAGUGUCUUGCCUCGUCCAGGCAAGAGGGCAUCAGACUUGGGACAGCUCACUCGAGGCAGGGAAAGAAAAGCGGGUCGCACGAUUGCAGGCACAGGCACUAGGGCUCUGUGGAAGACACAGAGGAUCCCAGCAUCCAAGCACGGUGCAGCCCCUCCCGGACUUCCGCAUCUCAGAGGUCAUCACUGUCCAGAAUUUUGUGUUCACCGUUCCCUUUCUCUCUGUACAUCUACGUGCAAUUUAUUGUGCAGUUGUACAUGCUUUUGAAAUUCAUUUCUUUUUAAAAAAAAUAAAAAGUCUCGAUCUGUUGCCCAUGCUGGAGUGCAGUGGUGCCAUCUCAGCUUGCUACAACCUCUACCUCCUGGGUGUAAGCAAUUCUUGUGCCUCAGUCUCUGAGUAGCUGGGACUAUAGGAGUGCGCCACCACAACUGGCUAAUUUUUUGUAUUUUCAUAGAAGACAGGGUUUUACCAUGUUGUCCAGGCUGGUCUCGAACUCCUGAGCUUAGGCAAUCCGCCCACCUGGGCUUCCCAAAGUGCGGGGAUUACAGGUGUGAGCCACCUCGCCCAGUCCCAUGCUUUUGAAAUUCACACAAGAGAGCUAAGCUGUCGUCCUGUGGUGCUGCAGCGCACUGUGUUGUUGGGUGUAGCUGUGAAUCACUUGUUUUCACCACAUAUGUUAGUCUGUCGUGUGACAAUUUAUUGAUCCAUUCUACUUUGACGGAGAUUUGUGCUGCUGUCCAAUUCCUGCCAUUUCAAUUCUCCAAUGAACAUUUAAUGUCAUUCUCCUGGUGCUUGGACAAGAGCCUGCAGGUCUAACCCGAGGAGAGAAAUUGCUGGGCCAUGGGACGUGCCUCUCGACCUCACUGGAUGCUGCUAACUUAGGGCCCGAAGUGCAGCGAUGACCGUCCCGCAGCACCACACAGACCCUAGCUCGCUUGGCAUUGUCUCCAACACUCUAGUGUUAUCAGCCUUCAUGUUUUUGUCAGUCUGGUAGGCAUUUCAGGUCCCUCACUCUGUUUUAAUCUGCUUUUUCCUGCUCACUAAUGGAGUAGGGCAUUUUCUCACAUUCCUUGCCCAUUCACGUCUUCCCCUUUGCCAAAACGCCUGUUCAAAUCUUCCACCCACUUUUCAACUGGAUUCUGUCUCUCCUUCUGAUUGACUUGUCGAAGUCCUUACAUGUUCUGGGCACAAAUCCUCCAUCAGAUGUGUAUAGUUGCAGUAUCUUCUCUCACUCUGUGAUUUGUCUUUUGCUUAUUUCAUGAUUCUUUUGAUAUGUAGAAGUUCCUCAUUAUACUGUAACCGAAAU